AUUGAACGCUGGCGGCAGGCCUAACACAUGCAAGUCGAGCGGCAGCGGAAAGUAGCUUGCUACUUUGCCGGCGAGCGGCGGACGGGUGAGUAAUGUCUGGGAAACUGCCUGAUGGAGGGGGAUAACUACUGGAAACGAUAGCUAAUACCGCAUGACCUCGAAAGAGCAAAGUGGGGGAUCUUCGGACCUCACGCCAUCGGAUGUGCCCAGAUGGGAUUAGCUAGUAGGUGAGGUAAUGGCUCACCUAGGCGACGAUCCCUAGCUGGUCUGAGAGGAUGACCAGCCACACUGGAACUGAGACACGGUCCAGACUCCUACGGGAGGCAGCAGUGGGGAAUAUUGCACAAUGGGCGCAAGCCUGAUGCAGCCAUGCCGCGUGUGUGAAGAAGGCCUUAGGGUUGUAAAGCACUUUCAGCGAGGAGGAAGGCACCAUACUUAAUACGUGUGGUGAUUGACGUUACUCGCAGAAGAAGCACCGGCUAACUCCGUGCCAGCAGCCGCGGUAAUACGGAGGGUGCAAGCGUUAAUCGGAAUUACUGGGCGUAAAGCGCACGCAGGCGGUUUGUUAAGUCAGAUGUGAAAUCCCCGCGCUUAACGUGGGAACUGCAUUUGAAACUGGCAAGCUAGAGUCUUGUAGAGGGGGGUAGAAUUCCAGGUGUAGCGGUGAAAUGCGUAGAGAUCUGGAGGAAUACCCGGUGGCGAAGGCGGCCCCCUGGACAAAGACUGACGCUCAGGUGCGAAAGCGUGGGGAGCAAGCAG
rnacentral:rRNA from 1 species